GACGAACGCUGGCGGCGUGCUUAACACAUGCCAGUCGAACGGAAAGGCCCUGCUUUUGUGGGGUGCUCGAGUGGCGAACGGGUGAGUAACACGUGAGUAACCUGCCCUUGACUUUGGGAUAACUUCAGGAAACUGGGGCUAAUACCGGAUAGGAGCUCCUGCUGUAUGGUGGGGGUUGGAAAGUUUCGGCGGUUGGGGAUGGACUCGCGGCUUAUGAGCUUGUUGGUGGGGUAGUGGCUUACCAAGGCUUUGACGGGUAGCCGGCCUGAGAGGGUGGCCGGCCACAUUGGGACUGGGAUACGGCCCAGCCUCCUACGGGACGCAGCAGUGGGGAAUAUUGCACAAUGGGCGGAAGCCUGAUGUAGCAACGCCGCGUGCGGGAUGACGGCCUUCGGGUUGUAAACCGCUUUCGCCUGUGACGAAGCGUGAGUGACGGUAAUGGGUAAAGAAGCACCGGCUAACUACGUG
rnacentral:rRNA from 1 species